rnacentral:rRNA from 1 species
CAUCACCUGGGUUUGACAUGGAUCAGCAACCAUUAAAGGAGGUUGCUCCCCGUUGGGGGCCGGUACACAGGGGGUGCAUGGCUGUUGUCAGCUGUGUGUCGUGAGAUGUUGGGUUAAGUCCCGCAACGAGCGCAACCCUCGUCCAUUGUUGCCAGCAGUUAAGGUUGGGGAUUCAGUGGAGACCGCCGGGGUCAAAUCGGAGGAAGGUGGGGAAGAAGUCAAGUCCUCCAGCCCCUUAUGUCCAUGGGUUCAAGCUUAUACAAAUGGCGGUACAAAGAGAUGCGAACUAGUGAGGGGGAGCGAAUAUCGGAAAACCGGUUUCCAUUUGGGAUGGCGUGUUGAAAUCGGCCCCCGGAGUCGGGAAUGGUUGGUAUCGGCGAUCAGAAUAGCGCCGAUGCAC